UUCUGCCGGGAGGGGGACCGGCGGCGCCAGCCGCGCCGCCGGCUUUCGGAAGAAGAAAGGGCGAUCCGCUUGGCGGGUCGCCCUUUUU
rnacentral:sRNA from 1 species